UUGGCGGACGGGUGAGUAACGCGUGGGUAACCGUGCCUCACACUGGGGGAUAACACUUAGAAAUAGGUGCUAAUACCGCAUAAGCGCACGGGACUGCAUGGUCUUGUGUGAAAAACUCCGGUGGUGUGAGAUGGACCCGCGUCUGAUUAGCUGGUUGGCGGGGUAACGGCCCACCAAGGCGACGAUCAGUAGCCGGCCUGAGAGGGUGGACGGCCACAUUGGGACUGAGACACGGCCCAAACUCCUACGGAAGGCAGCAG
rnacentral:rRNA from 1 species